AGAUGCAUGGCAGUAUAAAGAAGUGUAAGCAUAUGUACUGCCCAAUGUUUACCUUAAAGUUGCCUUAAAUCCAAACUCAUAAAAUUUAACUGGAUGGAUAGAAGGGGCCUUAAGACUUACAACUUUUAAUUGAUACUUUAACUUACAGAAGACUGAUAUUGGUGAAUUUUGAAUUCUAAAGAUAAGUAUAUAGAUCAUGGACCUUAAAUAAUUCAUUUAGGCCAUCUUUUGAAAAGUUAGUCAAAAGAGUAACUUACAUUAGUCGUGCCUUAGUAGUACAGUUUAGUAUAUUCACAAUUUUCUGAAUGUUGUUAUAUUUAGUGUACAUCAAUAAUCAAUACAUGCAGCAACAGGAUACUCCUUGAAUUAUCUAUGAUUUUGGUAUUUUUGCCUUCUUUUGUUUUCUAGGCUUUUGGUUAUAUGCAACUAUAUGUACUUUUUAACUUUUUUUCACAACUAGGACUCACCGAUCUGCUCAGCCUAUUGCAAACGCAGGUUGAGAUUCCAAAAUGGCCCCAGAAGUGUGGUUCAGAUGACUCCUGUGCCUGGGAUACAUUUAAUCACCCCAAGCCAGGAGCUAUACUUACGAAUCAGACCUUAGUCCUUUUUAUAAGCACUGCAAUAAGGAUGGUUGAUUACAGUACUCUGUACAGUUUCUGAGGGCAUUAGAGAUGGACAUUUGGCUUACCCUUUUUCUGACCUGUUGGAGAGCUAGGUUUUCAGUCCUUCUAGCAGAUGAUCUGUAAGAGGUCUGCUUGUCUACCAAGACAAGUGAUGUGUUCCUUUAAUUAUGGCGGUAUAUCGUGAUGUUGAAGUUCCUCUGUUUAAAUCCUACUUUUGACCUUUGGAAAGAUGGUGGUAUUUUGCUAGUGUACUUCUCAAAUUUUCAAAUUUUCUAUUUGGUUGUUAAUAAAAAUAAAGUUAAAGGGUUAGGAUAGCAAUUUCUGUCAUUUUACUAUAAAAUUGGAUUACAUUGCAUUUUGUUACUCAAUUAUUUGAGGGAGCUGUAAAGGUCUUACAGGGAAAAUUACAUUUAUGACUACACAGGGACUGUUGCUGAGUACUGAGAAGUAGAACAGCAAUAAAUCUAUGCUAAUAGAUGUGCAUGUGAAAACAUUGCCUAAGCUGUUUCCCUUUCGUAUCUUGACAUUAUAAAGCUACUCUGCAUUGCUGUUGCCUCAUAAUAGUCUUGUGAUGGAAAGAAGAGGACAAUAUUGAUUAAACUGAAUAUACAGAUAAGACUGAAAAGAGAAAAUAUGCCUAUCAAAUUUUAUGUAAGUCCUUGGGAAAGUAGAUGGCCUUCAUAACCCUGAAUGUACCCAUUUUCUUUCUAGCCAUUCUUCCAUGCCUUGCAGAACUAGACUUUGAAACUGGUAGAACCAUCUCUUUAAAGAUACAACUUUCAUAUUUAGACAAACUUCUGGUGUAUUGCAACUCAAUAAAGCCUACGAUCUUGAUUGUCUAUCAGAUACAAUCAUGGAAGCAAGUGAAGAAAAAUCACCAAGGCAAAAUAUUUUGUGGAAAAGAGAGAUGAGUUCUGUGCUUUCAAGUCAUCUGUAAAAGCCAUUUUAAGAAACUUAGAAACAAAACAGAACAAAACAAAACCCAAACAACAACGAGAAAACUCCUCACAAAUUAUUUUUUAUCUAUAUUUAGUAAUUUAAUCAUACUGUAACUAUCUGACAGUCUUGCCCCAAAUCCGGGUAGAAAUAUUCUUCACCUUAGUAUUUCUGUAGAAGUUUCCCCUGGAGUGGUUGCAUUGAAGUCAACUGCAAGUCGACCUAACUGGAAGUGAUGAGUCCUGAAACAUCUAAUCAGAAAGGCAGGAUCUAGGGAAAAUAAGUUAUUGCUUUGAUAUCUCUAAUUUGGCUCAGGUAUAAUAACUAAUCAAUGACCUUCUGCAAGCAUGAACAAAAUGCUUUUGCAGUAAGUGGUCAUCCUUUUAUUUAAUCUAAUCUUCUUAAAUAUUUUUCAGUUGAGGUUUUCCAGUAAGUACUGAGCAGAGUGCUGAUGCACUGUCACAUACUUGGGCUGGAUUAAAUUCGUUGUUUUGGUUAACUAUCAAAUAGGUGUAUGUAAUGCUCUGCUUAGAGUUAGCAUGCCACUGAAAGAGUCAUUGAAAUGCACAUAGGUAUAUAGCGCACCCUCAAUGUAGGGAGAAGUCUCUGAAGGAAAUUAAGAUUGUGAUGAGUGUUAUACAUAAUGAAAUAUAAACCCGAGUUUUAUUUCCUUGUCAUUUUCUUUAGAUGUAUAAAUAUAUCUGGGGAAGUGCACUGGUUUUGGCUGGAAUAGAGUUUAUUUUCUUCCUAGUAGCUGGUAUAGUGCUGUGUUUUGGAUUUCAAAUGGGAAUAACGUUGAUAACACACUGAUGUUUUAGUUGUUGCUAAGUAGUUGAGGCUUUUUUCAUAGUCAAGGACUUUUCCAUUCCUCACAAUGCGCUGAGUGCACAAGAAGCUGGGAGAGGCAACACAGCCAGGACAGCUGACCCCAACUGACCCCAGGAAUAUUUUAUAUCUUAUGACGUCAUGCUCAGUAUAAAUUUUGGAAGAAGAAGAAAGAAGCGGGGGGAUGUUGACAGUUAUGACAUUUGUGUUCCCAAGUAACCAUUAGAGGUGACAGAGCUCUGCUGUCCUGGAGGUGACUGAACACCUGCCUGCCCACGGGAAGUGGUGAAUGAAUUCCUUGUUUUGCUUUGCUUGCGUAUGCACGGCUGUUGCUUUACUUAUUAAACUGUCUUUAUCUCAACCUGUGAGUUUUCGCACUUUUACUCUUCUUAUUCUCUCCCCCAUCCCACCAGGGGGGAGCAGGAGAGAGACUGUGUGGCUUGGUUUCUGACUGGGGUUAAACCACAUCAGGAAGGUAAAUAAGCAGUUUAUAAGAAACUCACAAGUUAAUGGCCAGCUUUUGGUUAAAGAAGACUGUUAAGUAGGUCUAAGGGAUGUUUGUGACACCAGAAGAGGAGCAAAAGCAGUCCAGAGGCAGCUGUAACCCUGUGACUACAUUUAUGCCUGUAAACUAGGGAGUGCUAGGGUCUAUCCUUUUAUGUUGAAGCCAGAUGGCAUAGUCAUGUCAAGUUAUCCUAUCAAACUCCCUUAUUCCCAGGAAAAGGCUGGGUAUUGUGGAAUAGUUACUGUUUCAUGUUAAGGUCCAGAUGAUGCCUCAAUGUUUUUUGGGAAAAUGCGCCUUGGCUCAGGCCAAAAUCAGGACAUAGCAUUCAAUCCACUAUAUGUAUCAAGAUGGACGAUUGAACAGUAGGGCCUGGGGUCUCAUCCUUUUUAACUUACUCAUGAAAUCCUCUCAAAAUAAACUUUACCACACUUGAACCUUCUUUAGCCUGUGGCCAUUUUUCAUUUUUGAAUAAUUUCUUUAAUUUCUCCCUUGUUAUAAUGUUCCUGAAUUGUUGCUUGAUAGUUGGAAUUAUCCACAUACAUAUAGGACAUUUGAUGCACUAAAAUCUAGGCUCUUGUCUCAGUUUUCUCUCUUAAUUGAACUAUGCUAAGAAGGCAGAAAAAAGAUUUGUAAUAAUAGGCAAGCAACGAAGAAGAACAUUAACUGUGAAAAUAGUUAUAACAAACCUGCAGUGAAAAAUGAGUGAGGAAAUGCUGCGACUUAAAAAUCUAAACAUGUGUAAACAUGGAUAAUAUUUUAGCAAAGGCAAGCAAGUUAAAAUCCUGACAACUCAGAUAAAUGGUUGCAUGAGUCUUUUUUAUCUAUAAUCUGAAGAUGAUUUCUCUAGAAACCUGUAUUCUCUUGGUUUCUUUUUUUUUUUUUUUCUGUCUUGAAGUCACCAACCAAAAUAUAUUCAGGCUUCAUACAUAAAGAGUUAUCAAUAUCAGAAACAGACCUGGAACAAAAGGUCAUUAAGGUCCAGCACACAGCUUUCAGCAAGAUUGUUUUUACUCUUGGUGUGUUUUGAUAUUUAUCUUCAGAUACUGACCAGACUUCUUGUUUAACCGAAAACACACCAGUAAAAUUCAGAUCACUGAUGUAAUUCAUAUUGCAUAUUGCACAAACUAUUAAUGAUAUUGAA